rnacentral:rRNA from 1 species
UACGUAGGGUGCAAGCGUUAAUCGGAAUUACUGGGCGUAAAGCGUGCGCAGGCGGCUAUGCAAGACAGAUGUGGAAUCCCCGGGCUCAACCUGGGAACUGCAUUUGUGACUGCAUGGCUAGAGUGCGGCAGAGGGGGAUGGAAUUCCGCGUGUAGGCAGUGAAAUGCGUAGAUAUGCGGAGGAACACCGAUGGCGAAGGCAAUCCCCUGGGCCUGCACUGACGCUCAUGCACGAAAGCGUGGGGAGCAAACAGG